CCUGCACGCACGUAGUCCUUGACCCCCCAAGGAUAGCCACACAACACAGAGCAUUUCUCUUCCUCACAUCAGUCAUGUCAUCCGGUAGGAACUCUCCGGACUCCGACUCGGUCGACGAGUGGGCGGCCCCGCCACAGGCGUUCUCGGAAGGCGACGCGCCUUCUGGUGCUGCAGCGCCGGCUGCGGCCGCUGGCGGUGGUCGCAGCAUGGAAGCGAUGGACGCCGUAGAGCGCGACUUGGCCGGUGCGUCUGUCACUGUGCUGUUUCAACUUCCCAAUGGCGAGAUGCAUCGGGCAAUGUUUUUCAUGGGCCAGAGCGUAGAGAACAUGAAGGCGCUGCUAGAGAAGGAAAAGGACCUGCCAUACGAGAAGACGACCCUUUACCUCGGGGACCGCAUGCUGUUUGACCCCCUCUCCUUGAGCGACCUCCCCUUCGACCCCAAGAUUGAAAACCUCGUCAAGGUCGAGAUGACCACCUAAGCGUGGCAGUGCGCGGACGCUUCUUCUCUUUUCUUUCCACCAGACCCACUGAAUGGGAUCACCACCCGCCUUUCCCUCUGUCGGCUGCGUGGCACAACUUGACGGAGGGCGACGCUCAUGCAUUUCGCGCGCCCAGAACUUAGCUGCAUGUCGUGAUUUGGUGGAGGCAGAUAUCGUGAGAGCACAGCGAGGCAGGCGCCUCACGUGAUGUGAGAUCACAUCAAUGGGGGAGCGAGGGGGGGGGAACGGUACCAUAGACACCAUACUCGCUCAAAGGGGUGCCUCUCCCGUUGGCUGCUUGCCUUUUCCAGCUUCGGCGGCGCACAAGAAAAUCCACACGCGCGCGACGUUGCCGCGCUGCCCACGUCUGUGAGUUGAGGGGGAGGUGGAGGAGGCAUGGGAAGCCACAGCACGACUUGCGCUUCUUUUUGCUUCACUGAUGCAUCUUUGCCUUUGCGUUUGCGGCUGCGUUUCUACGGCGUGGCACAGCGCAGACGGGGCCGUCGCCCUGGUGCUCAACUGCUUCUUCUAGAAUUGGGGCACCGCCACCACGGCACCGAUUGACCACUGCGCGAUUCGGUCCGCUGCCCACUUUGAUGAGGGGUAUGGCCCGGGCGCCGCCAGUGCUGACUGGGGCCCCAUCACGUUCCUUCCAGGAAGCGAUGUGGCAACGGUGCCGCACCGCGGUCGCCACAUCAGUCCGAAAAGACCGUGCCUGCACCACAGCGAUGCAGAAGCGAAGACGCGCGAGCUUCAGAGUGCGGAACUGACCCCCAAGACCACCACGACAACCCGAAAUCGGACCAGAGGGAGGCAAGGCGGAUCGCUCACGCAGCCCCACCCCAUCCCACCACACAUGCACACACACACACAUACAUAUAUAUAUAUAUAUAUAUUGCGCCACUCACAGGGACGAGGCUACAUUUACAAAUCGACUCAUCGCGAAGACCACCGGGAGCUCCCUUCCAUCCGGUAAAGCUACUUGUCGACCGCCCGGGGCGCGAAAACUGGCGCAGCUCCAAGCAUCUCUCGACAAAAUACCCUGUGAGCCUCCCAAGCAUCGCCCUCUCUCGGGUAUGCUCAUCGAAGCGCUCGAAGGAGCCGGCCUUGAGGGAUGGAGAGAAUCCUGCGACGCCCUCACCCCUCCCGCGACCCUCGACAAUGGGCACGCAUCUUGACCAUUCAUGGGUCUCUCCCCUCCCCGCCCACUGCGCACAACAG
rnacentral:misc_RNA from 1 species